GAUGAACGCUGGCGGCGUGCCUAAUACAUGCAAGUCGAGCGAACAGAUGAGGAGCUUGCUCCUCUGACGUUAGCGGCGGACGGGUGAGUAACACGUGGAUAACCUACCUAUAAGACUGGGAUAACUUCGGGAAACCGGAGCUAAUACCGGAUAAUAUAUUGAACCGCAUGGUUCAAUAGUGAAAGACGGUUUUGCUGUCACUUAUAGGUGGAUCCGCGCCGCAUUAGCUAGUUGGUAAGGUAACGGCUUACCAAGGCAACGAUGCGUAGCCGACCUGAGAGGGUGAUCGGCCACACUGGAACUGAGACACGGUCCAGACUCCUACGGGAGGCAGCAGUAGGGAAUCUUCCGCAAUGGGCGAAAGCCUAACGGAGCAACGCCGCGUGAGUGAUGAAGGUCUUCGGAUCGUAAAACUCUGUUAUUAGGGAAGAACAAAUGUGUAAGUAACUAUGCACGUCUUGACGGUACCUAAUCAGAAAGCCACGGCUAACUACGUG
rnacentral:rRNA from 1 species